rnacentral:rRNA from 1 species
AUUGAACGCUGGCGGCAGGCUUAACACAUGCAAGUCGAGCGGGGUGAUGGUGCUUGCACUAUCACUUAGCGGCGGACGGGUGAGUACUGCUUAGGAAUCUGCCUAUUAGUGGGGGACAAAAUCGCGAAAGGGAUGCUAAUACCGCAUACGUCAUACGGGAGAAAGCAGGGGAUCACUAGUGACCUUGCGCUAAUAGAUGAGCCUAAGUGGGAUUAGCGAGUUGGUGGGGUAAAGGCCUACCAAGGGGACGAUCGGUAGCGGGUCUGAGAGGAUGAACCGCCACACUGGGACUGAGACACGGCCCAGACUCCUACGGGAGGCAGCAGUGGGGAAUAUUGGACAAUGGGGGGAACCCUGAUCCAGCCAUGCCGCGUGUGUGAAGAAGGCCUUAUGGUUGUAAAGCACUUUAAGCGAGGAGGAGGCUCUUUUGGUUAAUACCCAAGAUGAGUGGACGUUACUCGCAGAAUAAGCACCGGCUAACUCUGUGCCAGCAGCCGCCGUAA